CUACGGGACGCAGCAGGCGAGAAAACUUUGCAAUGUGCGAAAGCACGACAAGGUUAAUCCGAGUGGUUUCUGCUAAAGGAACCUUUUGUCGGUCCUAGAAACACCGAUGAAUAAGGGGUGGGCAAGUUCUGGUGUCAGCCGCCGCGGUAAAACCAGCACCUCAAGUGGUCAGGAUGAUUAUUGGGCCUAAAGCAUCCGUAGCCGGCUCUGUAAGUUUUCGGUUAAAUCUGUAUGCUCAACAUACAGGCUGCCGGGAAUACUGCAUAGCUAGGGAGUGGGAGAGGUAGACGGUACUCGGUAGGAAGGGGUAAAAUCCUUUGAUCUAUUGAUGACCACCUGUGGCGAAGGCGGUCUACCAGAACACGUCCGACGGUGAGGGAUGAAAGCUGGGGGAGCAAACCGGAUUAGAUACCCGAGUAGUC
rnacentral:rRNA from 1 species